rnacentral:lncRNA from 15 species
GAGAAACCAGAGUGAACACCCUGAUCAGCAGCCCCAAUCAGUGCCUGUCAGAAUGAACCAAGUGAUGUCAGAAGGGAAAUAUCAGCCACGUGCACCUGUGCCCUACAUUCAUACACCUGUUUACCUGCAAACCAGCCACAACCAGCAUGUUGGGUAUUUUCAAGCAAGUCCUGUCAAGUUCCUGUCUGAAGGGACACAGAACCUGCCGUCUGUGGCCAUGACCGGCACACAAACACCACAGCCUUUAUCAAGCACCCUUCAGUACUACGGGGAGACGCUGAAACGCAUGCAGCAAUAUUGUAUGCCCCAAAUGCCAGUCCGAUUUUCUCAAGGAGGUCCCGUCAGGUUCCUGCAGGAGGGAAUACAGAACCUGCCAGCUACGGCGACAAACAGCACACAGACACCACAGCCUGCACAGAGACCUCUUGAGUACAACAGGAAGACGUUGGAUGGCCCACGGAACAAUGCUGGAGAAAAUUCCUUCUCCAAAGACAAACAGCAGAGCCCCUGA